AUGUUCAAGCCCGUCCUUGCUGUUGCUGUGUUUAGUCAGACAUGCUGCAGCUAAGUAUUUUCUUUAAUCAAUACAAAAGAGAGAGAUGAGGUUGUCCUGGCGCUGUUUCUGAAUUACUCAGUUCUGGUAAAACUUAUCAGUUGGACUGCUCCUGACCCAGCCCCCCUGGGGAGAAGGCUCAUCCAUCACCGUGUCUGUGUGUCCAGUGACUGCAUCCAUCCGGUCCUUCCUCUCACCUCCUGGCAUCUAUCAGAGCUCUUGGUUCAAACUUCCCAAACAAGGCAGUAAGCCCAAAGAAACAAGUGAGCCAGCGGGGAAAUCGGAACACUGCUCCAGAGAGUAGGAAAAUUAUCAAUGAACCCAAAGGCAAUUGGGAGAUCACCGCAUCGCUUGUCAAGAUGCCACCUUUAAUCAUCAGCCAGCAAAGAAAAAUUAAGGCAAGGACAAAUCUACUGUUGAGUGUCUAAGGUCUGCCUGGCUGACUAACUUUGUGCUGGAAUCUGCCACAUCCUAACCCUGCUCCUCCUGUGCGUCAUUCAGCUGUCAAAGAGCAAGCAAGGAGAUGCUCUCACAGCUCUAAAAAUGCAAGUUCAAGUUCAAGUGUGUCAGUCCAAAUCACCUCUAGAUCCAAGGGUUAUAGGAAGCGGUCUUCCAGAAGCAAACAGAGAGCUUCUCAGCCCAGGACAUCCUGUACACUCCAAGAGUCACUGUGAUUCUUUCCUUGAACCCGUGGUGCUAACUAAGAAAAUAAGUUGAUGUAGUGUGCGGCGAUAAUCUGUGUUUUGUUUUACACGUCAUGAUUACUUGUAAUAAAAUACCAAGGAUUUAUUUCUGGAAAAAAACCAA